GACGAAGGAUGCAAGCGUUAUCCGGAUUCAUUGGGUUUAAAGGGAGCGUAGGUGGCCUUGUAAGUCAGUGGUGAAAUCCUGUCGCUUAACGAUAGAAUUGCCAUUGAUACUGCAGGGCUUGAGUACAGUUGCCGUUGGCGGAAUAUGACAUUGUAGUGGUGGAAAUACAUAGAUAUGAUCAUAGAACACCGAUUGCGAAGGCAGCUGACGAAACUGUAACUGACACUGAGGCUCGAAAGUGUGGGGAUCAAACAGG
rnacentral:rRNA from 1 species